rnacentral:lncRNA from 1 species
UCCAAUCCAUGUCUCGUCUCUAUAAUCUGUGUGUAUAUAGCUCAUCAUCCAUGGCGGCUACCAUGGCUUGAGGUCGUUCUCGAGGCCCUGGUCCCAGUCGAUGCCCUUCUCGCCGGGCUCGAGGAAGACGCCCUUGGGGUGCGGCAGCUUGCGCGCGAGCCCGUUGAGUAUCUGGUGGAACGCGUCGCCGGGCCUCGCCGGCUGGUGGAACAGCACGGCCUGCUUCAUCGCCGGGGACGCCAGCAGCCGCUGCUUCCGGAUGACCUCGUCGAGCGGGACGGACGCCAGGAUGGUGUCCAGCCUCGGCACGUCCUCCUCCGCCACGAACACGCUGAUCUCCCCCCACGGGAUGGCGUCCGCGAAGGGGAGCACGAUGUCGGUCAGUUUCAGCAAUGCCUUCUUAGAUCAGAGCACCAUCCUUUCAGUUCAAAGCAGCAGGAAUGUGCAAUAUGUUCAGGAUGGUGGUUUACACGAUUAGUUUCAGUAAAGAACAGUAAAAUGAGCCCAAAUUAAUUGUUGUGGA